rnacentral:rRNA from 1 species
GACGGGUGAGUAACACGUGGGUAACCUACCCAUCAGAGGGGGAUAACACUUGGAAACAGGUGCUAAUACCGCAUAACAGUUUAUGCCGCAUGGCAUAAGAGUGAAAGGCGCUUUCGGGUGUCGCUGAUGGAUGGACCCGCGGUGCAUUAGCUAGUUGGUGAGGUAACGGCUCACCAAGGCCACGAUGCAUAGCCGACCUGAGAGGGUGAUCGGCCACACUGGGACUGAGACACGGCCCAGACUCCUACGGGAGGCAGCAGUAGGGAAUCUUCGGCAAUGGACGAAAGUCUGACCGAGCAACGCCGCGUGAGUGAAGAAGGUUUUCGGAUCGUAAAACUCUGUUGUUAGAGAAGAACAAGGACGUUAGUAACUGAACGUCCCCUGACGGUAUCUAACCAGAAAGCCACGGCUAACUACGUGCCAGCAGCCGCGGUAAUACGU